UAAUUUAAAAUUAUCAACAAAAUGCCGGAAGUAGAAAUGUGAUAUCCAAGUAUUAUUGAUACAUACCAUAGUUGAAACACCACAGUUGUGCAAUAUGAAUUUCUUACGAAAUGCUUUGUAUAUUGUUUUUAUUUAUAUAUGUAUUGGGAUAUUUUUUGAUUAUGUGAAAAGUACAGGAGACAAUUUAAUUGAUAAUACGAAGAUGAAGCCAAAGAAAAAUGGUUCACCUAGUAAUCUUUUUCAAAGUAGAUACAUCCCGUGUUCAGUUGGGUAUAUAAAAAUAUAUGAUAUAUGUAAAAAGAAAUUUGUAAUAAGACAUUGACCUCUGACUACUUAUUUAAUAUUAUUUUCAUAUUUCAAUUAUUUCAUGUAUUAGUAUGUAAUUAUAAAAUAAAAGUUCUGUAAAAU